rnacentral:rRNA from 1 species
AGUCAUAUGGCUGUCUCAAAGAUUAAGCCAUGCAUGUGUAAGUAUAAGCAAUUUAUACUGCGAACCUGCGAAUGGCUCAUUAAAUCAGUUAUAGUUCAUUUGAUGGUAUCUUGCUACAUGGAUAACUGUGGUAAUUCUAGAGCUAAUACAUGCCAAAAACCCUGACGUAAGGAGGGGUGUGUUUAUUAGAUUUCAAGCCGAUGCCCCUCGGGGCCGUUGGUGAUUCAUGAUAACUCAACGCAGCGCAUGGCCUCGUGCCGGCGCGGGAUCAUUCAAAUAUCUGCCCUAUCAAGUUUCGAUGUGAAGGUAGUGUCUUCACAUGCUUUUGACGGGUAACGGGGAAUUAGGGUUCGACUCCGGAGAGGGAGCCUGAGAAACGGCUACCACAUCCAAGGAAGGCAGCAGGCGCGCAAAUUACCCAAUCCCGACACGGGGAGGUAGUGACAAGAAAUACCGAUACAGGGUCCUUUAGGAUCUUGUGAUUGGAAUGAGUACAAUUUAAAUCCCUUAACGAGGAACAAGCGGAGGGCAAGUCUGGUGCCAGCAGCCGCGGUAAUUCCAGCUCCGCUAGCAUACAUUAAAGUUGUUGCAGUUAAAACGCCCGUAGUUGAAACUCGGGCCUGGUCGGCCGGUCCGCCUCACCGCGUGCACUGGUUCGGUCGGGUCUUCUUCCCUGGAAAGCCGCAUGCCCUUUACUGGGUGUGUCGGGGGCCCAGGACUGUUACUGUGAAAAAAUCAGAGUGUUCAAAGCAGGCUCACGCUCGAAUGCCUUAGCAUGGAAUAACGAAAUACGACGGGUGUGUUGUGUUCCGUUGGUUUUUGCAACCUCCGUAAUGAUUAAUAGGGAUGGUCGGGGGCAUCGGUAUUCGAUCGUCAGAGGUGAAAUUCUUGGAUUGAUCGAAGACCAACUGCUGCGAAAGCAUUUGCCAAGGAUGUUUUCAUUAAUCAAGGACGAAAGUUAGGUGAGCGAAAACGAUCAGAUACCGUUGUAGUCUUAACCGUAAACUAUGCCGACCAGGGAUCGGGCGGUGUCUACUUUGAUGACCCGCUCGGCACCUUGCGAGAAAUCACAAGUUUUUGGGUUCU